UGAAACCAUGGCCAAACUUGUCGCGAGACAGGGACGGAAAGCCACGGGUUUCUAUGAGACAGCCGGGUUGCAUAG
rnacentral:ncRNA from 1 species